AGGUCCCGAGAAGAGCUGUGAAGGGAAUAAUUUGAUUUUGGGAAAGAAGGGGACAGAGCCUCAUGAAUCAAGUAAAUGGAGGGUUAAAAACCACUUUGAAGUGUGCCCUGCUAGCUGCUUGAUCCUCCAAGAGCAGCGGGGCUUCACUAGAGAUGGGGGGAGGCGGAAACGGGGCCAAGUUGCAUAUAGACCUGGCCAUGAAGCUACCCCGAUGUUAGGAAGAUGGGAUAGGAGGAAGAGGGGGGAAAACCCUGUGAGAGAAACAGACCCUUCAAUCCCCAUUCUUCUGCUCUGAUGUCACUCCUACAACCCAUGGAAGCAAAAUGGUGUGGGCGGGGGGGGUUCUCUCCCCUUCUUUCCAGAAAUCAUCUCUUUCCUUCACAACUCUUCUCUGGACCUUAUCACUGCUAUUAAACCAUCCCUAGGGCAGAGGAAUUCUUGUUCUCUCUAGUCCCUUGCCACUCUGUCGUGGAGAUUUUCCCCAGCUUUAGACUGUAGUUACCUAGCCUCUUCCUUGAGGAAUGUGUAUCCCAGUUGAGUAAGGGAAAGCGUGCAAGAGUGCCACCUUCAUGUCUCUGUGGUCUCCUGGGGUAUGAGGUGAGGACCCAGGCUUCCAGACAUCCUGUCCUCCAAAUAGCUACACUCUCCACGACCCUGAGCAUGGUCAGCAGAGCCAUCUGCUGUCACAGGUAUUGAAGUCUAAGCUAGAAUUAUGCUUUCUUUUUACAAGUCUCUAUCUUUGUAUUUUGCCAGCAUUUUUCUGUUUUUUCUUCCUUGUUGCUCCCACAUAAUGAGGAAAGAAGACAAAAGCACAAAUGACAUAUGUAUCCCAACAUGUCAAUUAUCUGUGGCUCCCAGGGGAGCCAGAAGAUGGAGGGAGACACUAGAGAGGAGAGUGACAGGUGAGGGAAGCAGAAAAGAAAGAUCGGGGACCUCUCGACAGUAAGAGAAGAGCUGGGCACCGUGCUCCCGGCUUCAGGCUCCAAAACCAACAGCUUCCAGUUCUCCAACAGUUACUGGAACAUCCAGGCCAUUGGGUGGUGAAAUGAGCCCAGCUUUGAAACCAGAUGAAUCUGGAUUCAAAUUCUAACUCUGUUAAUUCUUGAUUAUGAGGCCCUGGGCAAGGCACAUGCUUUCCAAAUAUUAGUUUUUUUCAUCUGCAAGCUGCAGAGGUAUUGGAUAGGUGAGGACAAUAUGGAAAAUGCCUGUCAGAAAGUAACCGCUGCAGCUACUGUUACUGGUUUGACUCUGGGCAGUGGGCCGCUAGCUCAGGUGGAAGGAGCACAGUGUGAAUGAGGCCGCUGGUGUGGGGUCAGUCACUGUCACUUAGCUAGAUCCAGGCCACAGGCUGUGCCCAACCUCUCUCUUCAGAGGAGAGAGCACACCAGGUACUGUGCUGAAGCCUAGAGCCAGAAGAGGGGAUGAAAGCAUCAUCCCUGGUCUUCAAGAACUUUAGAGCUUAGCAUGGAGCCAGGCUUGCCACUAGAAAAAUUGCUUAAGGUGCACCCUUGUGGUAGGCUGCUGGCAUGAGUUCUGUUGAGGAAGCAUUUGUGUUGAACCUGGGCACUGUGACAGGAGGAUGGGAAGGUGCUUAUGGUUUAUUUCCCUUCCUCCCAGCGCCUCUCUUCCCUCACUCCAUCAUUCCAGCCCCUCUGCCUGUGGUAUUUCCCUUCGUGCCCGCAGUAACUGUGAUGCGUGGCAAAUGGGUGGCUCCGUAGCUGUGUGGGGCAACUUUCUCAGCACACAGCUGCCCUGAGACGCUUUCAGGGUGCACUUAUUCUCCCUCCCUUCCUCCUCCCAACUGCUCUGCUCCCUUCUCUUCUUACACAGAUGAAGCAAAGGGAAGCACCCUCUGGAGGCCCAAGGAUGGGGAGACGGGGGGAACCCAGGACACAGAGGUUGUUAGCCAGGGGCCUGAGGAGGGACGAAGGAACUGCAGUCCCGGCUCCCUCUGUCAGGAAGAAUGUCUGGGGUGUUGGCCUGGAACGCUGAUGAGUUGAUUUCCUGCUAUUUCCACAGCAUAGGUUGACCAGGGAGAAAAGAAAAGUGCAAAUUUCUGUAACUCCUGCCCUGCUUCUCACAAACCAUGCGGUGCUGAGCCUAGAGCUCUGUCCCUGAGGAAACAGCUCUCGCCUCCUUCGCCAGCCACUCUCCCAACCUCUCUGCCAGUAGUAAAUUUGCCUCAUUCUCCCAGGAAUUGAGUCUCUAAGAAUCUCUCCCCUAUCUAAACCUCACAGGCAAGCAGUCCCAGCUCCCUUCUGCAACCCUCAGGCUCGGCGACUGCCCCCCAUCCCCCACUUCGUCACUCCCUUCCCUACGCUGGGUUCCUUUCUCUCUGCUUUCUUACUACCUCCCUGUCUCCCAACAGAAGCAGCCAAUCCCCAGCCUGCUCUAGAGCCACGCCAUAUAUGGAGAGGUUGGAAAAAACCCGAGUAAAUGCAGGAGCGAACACACACACACACACACACACACACACAAAAUCAUACACGUUCAUGCACACACUCAUGCACACACAUACACGCACACAGCAGAGUUUGACCGCCUUUCUGCACGUGACCCUGUGUCUGUCUCUGUGUGUGACACAAGUCCCACCGUUCCUCCCCCGGCUCACCCCCCCCCCAAAGAAUGAGGAGCCUGUUUGCUAUUCCCCACCUUUAGUCAUGCCCCAGGAGACCAUCACUCCAACCCGUUGCCUCUGACCUAGAUUCCUUGCACUAAUUACAAGCCUAACGAGAUCUAACAAACACCCAACUUAGCACAGCUGAGAUCCUCGAGGUCAAUUAGUGCAGCCCAGCUCUGCUCAGGAAAUGAGAGAUAGAGCCAGAAAGUCUUGUACAUGGCCCACCCCAACCUCACCCCAACCCUAGGGUUGGAAGCAAGGAUGGGGGGAAUGCAAAAAUUAGCAGGACCAGUUUAAAAACGUGAUUUUGGAGGCUUAAUAAGUAUGGAGAGCACACUUGUUAAGUGCAUUGAGGUUGGGGAGCAAUUGGAGAAUACAGAUUCCCAACUCCUCCGAACUAUCAGAAGUGUAGAUGCUGGUGCAGCUACAGAAACCAUGGACAUAAGGCGGCUUUCAUAAGGACUUAAUAUGAGGAAAAGGAACUCAUAGAAAAGCAAGUAGCACUAGAACUCUUGACCUGUGUCAUGGUCUCCGACGCCGAAUCCCUUCUCCUCUUUACUUCCUGCUAUGGGCAAGUUGGGGUUAUCACCCCUGUCCUUCCUGCUGGUUUGGGACGGCUCAGAAAUCACCCCUUUCUUUCAAAAAUACUAGUCUCAUGGCCGUUCUUGCUUUCCCUUCUUCCAGAUAUUAAAGCCAUGACAGCAAACAGCCCCUUUCUCCUAAGGUUCCUGACUUCAGGUGGCAAAACAAGCCAAUGGCAUAGUCUCCUGUCCUAUGUCCUUGGCAUGCAGCCUCCACCCAGCUCUGGCUGCAGAGGGCCGCACUCCGCCAUUACUGCGCCUCAUACACAGUCCAGACUUAUACAGCAGCUGGAAACCCUGAGGGCAAGACGAUUCCAAGAAGUACCCAAUCUACCUGCAACAUUUUUCAGACCUGAAAUGGAAAAUGCGGCAGAGUCCCCAAGAGGAAGGUCCCUGCAACAUCACAGCAAGUGUGCACUGUAAUAAUUCCACCAGUCCUGGCUGACCGUCACCUGGGAGAGGAGGAAUAUCCAGACAUGUUGAAGACUACUAGACACAGGGCCUGAAUGGCACUGAUAUUCAAAGACCCGAAAUGUCAUAAUGGCCCCUGUUACAAUGAUGGGCUAUAGGUCAGCAAAAGGGUACACAUCAGAACCAGCCAAGGGAAGAGAUCCAGAGGGCAAAGUCUGGGAAGAGCCACACGGGAAACUUUGGACACCUUCUCCUGUGAAAUUCCAGACAUCACUGCCCCUCCCAGCUAUGAGGUGUGACAGUGCUUGCGAGUGCUGCCACCAGGAAAGCUUGCCCAAGUCUUUGGUGUCCAGAGCCGUUGCUGGAGCUUGACCACAUGCUGCCUGCAUGACUGACCUUUGCUCUCCAGUCCCUAUGGGGGCUGGAACUGAUACGGCGUGUUUCAAAGCCCCCAUUAUAAAUCACAUCAUUCAAGCAUAUGGUGGCCAAGCUCCCGAGGCAAACAAUGACAUUCCUAUUGGGCAGGACAUUCCAGGGGCCUAGAGAUCAUCUCCCAGUAGCCGAGGGCCACAGCCAGUCCUCUCUGAGUAAAAAUCAAUUCACUACACAGGGGAGUUGUACUCCUUUGCUUUUUUUUAAAUUCAAGAUCAAGUGCUCCAAACACACUGUUCUGUUUAAUCUUUGCCUCUUCUUUGACCUGUUUCUUCUUUUUCCGAGUUGGCUUCAGGUCACAUGUUGCUCUGGAGAACCGAGAAGGGUGAGCAGACACCAAUCAUGACCCCAAACAGCAAGAGGACAGAAAGAUAGGGUUUUGCCAUGUUGGACAGUCUGGUCUCGAAC